AUUUUUGAUCCACUUGAGAACAAACAUAGUUUGUUUCUUUUCCUUAUUCGUCUCAGAGUGAUAGUGCAGAGUGGGGUUUGUGGAAAUUUAUUUAUUAUACCAGCCCGAUCACAUUUGGCUACCCCUGAUGAUCAUCAAGUGUCUCUCAAAAGUUGUAUUUGAUGUCCUGAUUGCAAGCAUAUUCCAAAUUCUCUUGAUGGGUCUGCAACACAUGGAAGAGGGGGACUACAGAAUUGUCUGCACAUGUCGCUGGAUGAAUAAUGUUCAGCGUUUAACUAAGCAAGAAUUUUGCAAAAUGAUAAUGAUUGCUUGGCAAGAGUACAAUGUCUUACGUUACUUUAAACUAAAUUGCAUCAUAAACAUACAAGAAAUCAUUCACAGUAACAUUUUUAGCGUGCGUGAUUAUUGCGGAUACCACAUUGUUCUCCAAUUGACAGAUCGAUUAUAAGCUCAGGAUUGUCUUUAAAGUGCCUUUGUGAAAAUAGCUUCCCUUUCUCCUCCUUUUGUAGAUCAGACAAAAAAGCACCCAUUGUGUUGUAGGCUUUGACUGAAACAAAGAAAUAUAUCCAAAGUUAUCUUAGUGGCGCCAACAACGCACAUUCAGAAACAUAAUACGACAACUGAGACGUGCGUAACCUUUCGCUCUCUAAGUAAGUCAUAUCAGCUGUGACAUCUCAAGUUUUCAAAGGUAUAACAAUGGAAGACAUGAAUAUAAGCAAAGACAGGUCAAUAUAAAGUUAAUUUGACAGUUCUGUAAAGAUUCGUGUAAGCAUUUCUCGAAUGGUUUUAUUUUUAACUGAAAUUUGAGUUCACCUAAGGUCAAUGAUGGAAGUGUUCACUCGUAUGCCAGACCACUUUACGACACUCUCAAUCUUUAUAGCGAGGUGCGAAUUUUUCGUUUCGUGUCAUGUGAAUUAAGGAGGUACUCAUCAUAUGAUGGGAAACAAGCGCAGUUGUUUUGCCUAAACGAAAGUGUGUCUACUGCUAAUCAGCCAAGUGGCUCAUUUGCAAGAAUAUCGAGAGGAAAGAAAACGAAGAACCUCUGCGAUAAAACUAUUUUAAAGUGAAUAUGUAAUGUCCUCUAGGCAUUAUUCUUCGUGGCCAAGUAAGGCCCUCAGUGCAUGAAUUACCCCAAGGCAACAUUCCGUAUUCACCGGUUGGGUGUCGCAUGGUUCGGCAAAUACUCAGUCAUUAUUGCACAGACAAGCCCAGAACAUUAUAACCAUCAAGGAAUUAGGUUUUGCUGUAAUACCUUUUAAGAUAAUAAUCUAAAAACGGCGAAUCCAACAAAAGUCGAAGAUAAAUGCAGAGUAAGUCGAUCCAGAUUUAGAAGGCUACGAACAUGUCCCUUAAUUUUCUUCGAUUCUUUUACAGAACGCAAAGCUUUUUUGGUCAAAAGUUAACCUAAAUUAGACUGAUAGGGAUAAAUUGUUCGCAAUGUCCGCUAUUGCUAAUCAGUCAACAUCGACAGAACUGAAUUUUGUUUGAUGAUGGUUCGGGUCAUGUGCUACAAGGCCAACUCAGUCUAAUAUCUGCUUUAACUAAAAACAUGUAUUGGGAUCACCUUACAUGAGACGUGAAGACAUUUAAUUAACAGUCAAUACCAAGUGUCGCGCGUGCGUGACACUUAGUCUCAGUCGUGCCGUGACGAAUGUUCUAGAACUGACGCGAAGCUUGUCGAUUCUUCAAGAGUCACGAACAAACGAUGGGCUUUAAUUACUAAAACUGCAAUAGUAAAAGAACGAGAAAACAGAAUAUUGCCAUAAACUCACUGAAGCUGAUCAAUGCAUAGUAUAAAUACCGUGUGCUCCUUUCAGUCGCUCCCAGUCACUACUUUAACAGUCUCCCUGCCUAGAUCAGGGUGCUGGCUCAGAGGUUAUAUAACAAUGGAUUGGCGUACAUAGGGAAGCCAGGAAAAGAGGAUGCUACAAUUUCAUUGUAAUCCACAGGAGCCUGAGCCAUUCUUUGUUAAUAUGGACUCCACCAUCUUGGCAAAUCGCCUUUAGCGGAGUUAUAAAUAUGCCAUAAUGACCUCUGCAAGAUUUCCAACAAUAACAACAUAUUAAAACAUUUCAUUUCUGAUCUUUGAAAUAUGUUAUUGACUUGUUUGAAGACCCCAAUAGAAUGGUUCUUUCUUCGCAUUGCCCAUGACAUCACGCAUUUCUGACUAGGAUGUUCGGCUCGUUAGCCGGUUUCCAAACCAAUCCGUUUUACUAUCCAUGUUAAUGAUUAGGAGAAUUGUCUAAAAACUCCUUUGUAUUUUUAGGAAUGUGUUUUGCUUUCAUUGGUAUGCAGAACAUAAGUGGUCUCCUGAGUGUAACUUUUGCACUAAUUAUUUUUAUUUGUGACUCGAGACAAGCUUGAAAAUUGGUCACGUUCUAUAUUUAUAAACGGUGCUACAUGAUACGACUUUUGGCAGUCAAAUUUCAUAGUCAGUCUCUUUGUCCUAAGACAGAAAAAAAUACAUUUUGCUAUCUAAUUUAGUUUUUGAAACUCGAAGUAUAGUUCAUUUUACGUCAUAAUAAUCAUUUCAAGUUUAAGUUUCCAAGAAUGUGACUGUCUACUUUGACAGUAACUGUUUUUAGGGAGAACCGUUUUGGUUUUAUAACUACAUAUAUAAGGUCAGCUGGUUUACCAGACAUUCAACAGGCGUAUAUAAUGAGAAGUUAAGGUCAUUUUCUUCCACUGGUUAGUAGCUGUCUAGCGCAGCAUGUGUAGGGCUUCUCAUGUAGCUUUGAUUAAUCUCCAUGUUGGCAUCAAGGAAGGAAAAGCCAUGAGAUUUGUGGCAUAAGGGAUAUGACAGCUCCUUAGUUUUGCCUCUUCAUGUAGGCAUAUUUAGAGUACUACUACUGAAUAUGAAAGCGAUCUUCGCAGUAAUGAAGCCGCAGUUCACAAAUACGAUUUUUAUAUAUUCACAGUCAUUUCUUCAUCACUUCACGGGUUUAUUUGGAACCAACAUAAUGAUCAGCUCCCAGUUGGCUUGUUAGCUCAGUUGCUAAAGCACAGCACAGUAUCGCAAAGGUCACGGGUUUAAAUCCCGUACAGGCUUAAAUUUUUUUCAGGUCUUAUUUUCACAACUGCUCAAGUUGUGUUCAUUACUGCGAAGAUCGCUUUCAUAUUCACCUCUUUAUCUGCAGUUCACAUAUAUGAUUUUCAUAUAGUCACAGUCAUUUAGUACAAGUACUGUAGAUAUUCAUUUAGAGCCUGAGUUCUUUUUGACAGCAGCAGUUGAGUCAAACUCCGUUUUACUGUCACGCAGAAUACUUUCUUCGUUUAUGUGGUGUUUGUGACCCUAAACGUAACAUGACUUUCAACUUCUCCUGCUGGUACCAUUAUUUCGGAUGGUAUACAACCAGGUGGAAGAGGUAUACUUACGUAACUUCCAAGAGGUUUUGUCGAGUGGCUAAAUCGAUUUCGGUCAAAGAUGCGUGUUAUGACGAUGCCUUUGUCACCGUCCUGAUACUUUACAUUUUGAAAAGGGACGACUCGGCUUUUGAAACUUGAUCUGCUCUCCCGAAACUUUUGCUUGGAGGAUUGGAACAAUCCAGUUUUGCCGCAUUCACUGCUGUCUGCGGCAAAAGUGUCUUGAGUUUUGUACUUUUCUUCAUCAAGGAGUGGUGGAGAGACGGCAUGGUGUUCUGUCGCGGUAGCAAAUGAUGCAAUUUCGUCUGGAUGUGUUCUUUUUGAGGAGUCAGACAUUUUUUUUUAGGAAUAUAGGAAAAUUUCUGACGUUAAGCCUUUUAAUGAGCGUGUUAUUGUUGUGUUGUUUUUCUGAGUAACCUGUGGAUAUUGGUUGAUCUUGAUCCUACGUGUUGUGUAAAGAAGCCCAUGAAAUGUUCAGGAUUUUUCUAGUUUAUCAUUGAAUGAAAUAUUUUAUUCUCUUGCUCUUUCCCAAAUUAGUUCCCUACAAACCCUUCACUCACCGAGUUCAGGCGGCUGUUUACAAAUAAUAGAGAACACUCGUACUCGCCCAAGUCUAUUCAGUUUAGCACUCUGCCACCAAAUUCACCGCAGAAGUCAGAAAAUACGGGCUCCCGAAAAAAAACGGCUACCUGAAAGUACGAAACCUCAAUUUGCUGGCCUUUCUUUUAUUCGCCGUUCAUGACGCUAUAUACUAACUACAUCUGAGGCAUCAGAGCCAGCGCUACAUCCAUGCAUUGGAACCCGACAUCAAAAUGCUAUUUUAAAACGUACGAAAAAUUCAACGUGAGUGGUUCGACUAAUUUUUUGCUGAAACUUUAAGCUGAAAAUGCUUAAAAAUCAGCUUGUAAGAGAGAAAAAUAAAUUUACAUUUCUUAUUUC